UGACCCAAACUUAAGGAAAGCUUUGACUAUGUACAGACUUAGUGAGCAUAGCCUUGCUAUUGAGAAAGGCCACCGUAGGCAGACAUGGCUCUCAAGAGAAGACAGGCUAUGUGCUCACUGCCCACAAAAUGAGGUGGAAACUGAGCUGCACUUCCUAACCUCCUGCCCAAUGUAUGACCAUAUUAGAGAUACAUAUUUCCCCCAGAUCACACAGACCCACAAAGAAUUAUAAAACAAAUCCAAUUUUGAUAAACUCCCAUAUCUACUGGGUGAAAUUCCACAGUGUGACAUCACAGCAGUAUGAUUUGUGACCUGUUGCCACGAGAAAAGGGCAACCAGUGAAGAACAAACACCAAAAUAAAUAAAUACAACCUACACUACCGUUCAAAGGUUUUAGGGGUCACUUAGAAAUGUCCUUGUUUAUGAAAGAAAAUCACAUUUUUUGUCCAUUAAAAUAACAUCAAAUUGAUCAGAUCAGUGUAGACAUUGUUAACGUUGUAAAUGACUAUUGUAGCUGGAAACGGCUGAUGUUUAAUGGAAUAUCUACAUAGGUUAUAGAAUAUCUACAUAGGUUAUAGAAUAUCUACAUAGGUUAUAGAAUAUCUACAUAGGUUAUGGAAUAUCUACAUAGGUUAUAGAAUAUCUACAUAGGUUAUAGAAUAUCUACAUAGGUUAUAGAAUAUCUACAUAGGUUAUAGAAUAUCUACAUAGGUUAUAGAAUAUCUACAUAGGUUAUAGAAUAUCUACAUAGGUUAUAGAAUAUCUACAUAGGUUAUGGAAUAUCUACAUAGGUUAUAGAAUAUCUACAUAGGUUAUAGAAUAUCUACAUAGGUUAUGGAAUAUCUACAUAGGUUAUGGAAUAUCUACAUAGGUUAUGGAAUAUCUACAUAGGUUAUGGAAUAUCUACAUAGGUUAUAGAAUAUCUACAUAGGUUAUGGAAUAUCUACAUAGGUUAUAGAAUAUCUACAUAGGUUAUAGAAUAUCUACAUAGGUUAUGGAAUAUCUACAUAGGUUAUAGAAUAUCUACAUAGGUUAUAGAAUAUCUACAUAGGUUAUAGAAUAUCUACAUAGGUUAUGGAAUAUCUACAUAGGUUAUAGAAUAUCUACAUAGGUUAUAGAAUAUCUAUAUAGGUUAUAGAAUAUCUACAUAGGUUAUAGAAUAUCUACAUAGGUUAUAGAAUAUCUACAUAGGUUAUAGAAUAUCUACAUAGGUUAUGGAAUAUCUACAUAGGUUAUAGAAUAUCUACAUAGGUUAUAGAAUAUCUACAUAGGUUAUAGAAUAUCUACAUAGGUUAUAGAAUAUCUACAUAGGUUAUAGAAUAUCUACAUAGGUUAUAGAAUAUCUACAUAGGUUAUAGAAUAUCUACAUAGGUUAUAGAAUAUCUACAUAGGUUAUAGAAUAUCUACAUAGGUUAUGGAAUAUCUACAUAGGUUAUAGAAUAUCUACAUAGGUUAUAGAAUAUCUACAUAGGUUAUAGAAUAUCUACAUAGGUUAUAGAAUAUCUACAUAGGUUAUAGAAUAUCUACAUAGGUUAUAGAAUAUCUACAUAGGUUAUAGAAUAUCUA